rnacentral:lncRNA from 1 species
UUUUUCAAAAUCUCAAGAUCGGUCAUGUAUAUAUUGUGUUAGUUCUACACAUAAAAAAAAAUAGAAUUGAUAACAGAGAUCAACUAUUUGGAAAGUGUGUGGGGUUUAGGUUAAGAAAUUUUUUUAUAGAUCGAAGUUUUUUUUCUUCUUCUGUUUAUGAAUAUUUAAAUGAGUAUAGGAGAAAUAAGAAAAGAUUGUAGUUUUUUUUUUUUUACUUAGAAAAGAAAAGAUUGUAGUUCUUCUCUUAGCUUUCUAUUAUGUUUUUUUUUCUUAAAGCAUUCUGUUAUGUUAUUUUGAGUGUGAAAUUAUUUCCUUGGGCCGAAGUAGGGAUGCACUUAUGUUUCUCCACUCGACCGGCCACUCUCCGAGAUUUUCUUGUUCCUAAUAUCUUAUAUAUUAAAACAGAAGUCACAACUUUGAUUCAUGUGUGAUUUUUUUAAAAAUAGACUAUCUACUAGAAAAUUAUAAAAUUUAGUUGUCCUAUCAUUUAAUUUCAUAUUAACAUCACAUAAGUCCCACAUUGCAUAAAUCAGCUAAUGUCUAUGAGUUAAAAAAAAAA